ensembl:lncRNA
GCAAACCAUACUGCAGAGCAGUUGUGUGUACACAGGAACUUCUUUUUAAUUAAAACCUGGAAUUUUCCUGCAGGGAUAUGCCUCCAUCAUAUAGGGCUAUAAGAUGCUACAGAAUAUCAUAAGAUUUGCAUUAACAUUUUAGGAAGAGAUGAUACUGAGCUAGAAGAAGGGAUGAUGGAAUGAGAUUUAAUGGAGUAGACCAGCAAUGAAGAAGAAGGGGAAAUUCCCACCCAUGGAAAGCAAAACACAGCAUCUGACAACAGAGCAGGUGUAGGAUGUCUGGGAAAAGGUAAUGCUCCUGUGGAAGUAAAUUGGGAUUACCUCUGACAAGGAAAAAUUAGGAGUGGUGCUAUGUAAAUUUUAUGCACAAUAUUAUUUAACUCAACAGCUCAACUCAACAGGGUCAUUAGAUUUAAUCUUUCUUUUUCACUUGGCUAAUUUCACGUACAUGUUUUCGCACCUGUUUUGGCUGCAGAAUUCAGAGGUUUGUCUUGUAGGUCCAAGCAGUCCUGUCUGAAUGUGAAGCAGCUGAAGAAGUUGAUGCUGAAGGAUGAUAACCACAAACAGAAAUACCAGCUCUCAGCCCUUCAGAAGAGGCCAUCUUCCUUUAAGGAUCAGAGCCUGCCUAGACUCAGCUGUGGUUGUCUACUGGCAGAUUUCUGUGUAAACAUAUGUAUAUGGAAGACUGAGGUGUUUCAGACACCGAGUGUACUAGCACCCCCUCCUGAGAUGGCCCAAGGAUGCUUAUCUGCAAAUGGAGCAGAAGCAGCUCUGAGAUUGCUGCCUCCUAGAAGUACAGCUUUGACUGCUUGCUGUUACCACUUAUCUUUUGCCAGAAAAGUUCAAGGUCAGUCUUUCCCAUUCCCUUAACUGUGUGUGUGUGAACACUCAUAUCUGAUUCCUUGGGACCGAAUCCCCACUCUAGUGCCGAGAACUGUCGGGGGGUGACACAUGUCUAUUUUUAAAAUAGAUCCACCAGAUGUUUAGUAUCUGAGUGCAGGGUGAUUAUUUAGUCAAGAUUAUAUUUCUUUGGGUUUUGUACUGCCGUCUGACAGUACAGUUUUACUUGGGUGGUUGUUUUGGUUUUAAUUCUGUGGUCAUUUCAAUGAGUGUGCCAAGCGCUGCAGUGGUAGAAGGCAGUUGUUUUUGAGUCCAUGUGAUGCUAUCGCUACCACGUGCUCGCGGCCUUGCUACUGGCCUGAUCCUGUGAGAUGUUCAUCACAGUCCAAAAAUAAAACUUGCUCACAAUGUGAUGUAUGGAAUAGUCUUACAGGGGAAGGGAAGGGGGAGCUUUAUUGCUUGUAUCACUUAACAUUGGGACUACAUGAAAACUGGAAAAUAUUACGCCAGAGUAGUAGCCUUUCAAAUCACCGCUGGGGUUGCCAGCAGCAAUUGCAAAGCUUCAUAAUCCAUUACAAAGCUUUAUUUCAUCCUUCCAUUAGCUUUUGCUUGGAGAACUCAUUUCUGCUAGUUAAUGUCUGGUAGUCUUGGAAGGACAAAAGGGCUUUUUCUGAAAAACAGUUGCUCACGUUUCUAUCCAAUCAUAGUCUGUAAAAAAAAAAAAAAAAAAAAAAAAAAAAAGUUAUAUUAAUAGAUAAAGGCUAUAAACAAGUUAAUUUCCUAAGUUUGGCUACACAGACCUAGCAUUUCACUGAGAUCAGUUUGAGCUACAGCUAUGCCUCUUCAGCCUUCCUCUGCUGAGGCUGCAAUGCUCACACAAUAAAACCAUUGGUCACACCUCAUUACUGAGGUUAUUUCCAAUACUGUACAAAGGACCAAGUAACAGAUGUUUUGAAAUGGUUAAUCAAUUGUUAUAGGUUUAAUUAAAUUGAUACCUCCACAUCUUUUCCAUAAUUUUUAUUUCAUUUUACUUGUAAAAGCUAGGGCAAAGAUCUUAACUACAGACUCAGUCAAGCCUGUGUGAGGCUCAGGCUUCAACUUUAUAACAUAAAUAUUACUUGCAUGUAAUUAUAAUAUUCUGUUUUUGCCACUUACACUAGAGUUUUUUAUCUCUGAAUUUCACUCUUGGAAAGUUAAGUUUGGACUUAGAUGUAUGGCACUUGUUGUUUGGAGUGACACACACAAAUCCCCAUACACCAGAAUGAAAAUUCAGCCCUAAUCAUCAAAGGGAAGUGAGGACUAAAUGAAUGUGUGUCAUGCGUAUCCAAUUUUCCCACUGAUCAUCCAGAGAAAAUAAAUCACAGCGGAUGUCCUUCCACUUCUUCUUCUUUGUUUAAAUAGCUAGAAGGAGCUCUAUGUUAAAGUCACCCUGGGACUCCCCAGAGAAUACUAAAAUAAAUUAAUAUUUGUUGAUUAAAUGUUUUGACCCAUAUUAAAGCCACUGGAAAAUGAUAGGCCUAGUUUGUCAUGGCAGCACUCCAGGUUUUUUAUGUACUACUGAAAUCAGAGGAUAAAUAUGGAGGAGCACAUCUCAACUAAGCUAAUACCCAAUUUCAUCCGUUUUUAAUAAAUCCUUUUUUGGGGAUUGCACUCUUUGAGGUACUCAUUUAUACCGGUCUCUCAGAGUUGCCUAGUGUCCAGCUGUGCUAGGAUCUCCUGUCAUCUUCCCAUUCUGCAACAGAAAAGAUAGAAAAAGAGAUUGACAGGAAAGAGAAAAAUAGGGAAAGGCAUACAGGGAAGACUGGAUUGAUUAAUGGGAACAUUUUAAAUGGCACAAAUUUGCGUUAGGUAUCCAAGCCGCAUUGAUUUUCAAUAAGAAUGGGAUAGCUUACAGUCCCUCAUCUCUCUGAAAUGUUCCCUUACACCCUAAGGCAAUUUAAUUUGGAAAGAAUUGUUGGAAGAAAUCUGAUAGGUGUAUAAAAUGAGCAGUAUAAAAAGCAUGCUGUCAUGGCAAAGGCAGUGCCCCGAGACUCGGAACCUGCUCAAAAGUUAAUUGAAAUCAAUUGGAAAGACUUCUGUUGACUUAAAUAAGCUUUGGGUGAGCCCUUGGGAGAGCUAGUUUCAAUACCCAGAUUUACCACAAAUUUCUUGAAUGGCUCAGGGCAAGUCACUCUGGGCCAUAGCCAGAGCGGGGGCCAGAUAUUGUAAUGAGAUUGCUCAAAGGGAGGAGAGUGCGAAAGGCUGUGCAGGCAGCCUCACGCUUUAGGGCUCUUUUCAGAAGUGGGUUAUGAGCUGCUAAUGUAAAACAAAUAAUAACUUUUGUUUAACCUAUCCUAGGACGAUGUCAAGUCAAUUUAAAAACAUUUUGAAAAUGAGGAUUAGGCACUUAUGACUAUAAGAACAGCAUCUGUGGUAAGACCAGCUUGGAUAAAAUGUCAGGGGCCACCAAUCCUCAUGUUUCAGAGCAUAAACUCACCACCAGCUGGAAUAAUGAAGCAGAUACCUCAGUGGAACGAUAUGUUACUGUUAAGCAGUUUAUGGUAUCGUUUACUAUGGGUUGUCGUCUGGCCAUACCUUUCCAUGGAUGCUCCCUAAGGAAUAGGGGUCUCUUCUAACUGCCUGGGGAAUAGCAGAGGUGUCUGUAAUCCGUGUAACUGGGGCCACUUCUCUGAAGUGACAGAAGCUCCUGGGGAGUGCUGCACCCUCAGAGCUGCUGGGCUGGGGUCCUCCCAGCUGCUCCAACUCUCAUAAACUCUGGCAGUGUUUUUGGUGGUGUCAGGAAGGCUCUGCAAGCUACAGGGGCUGGCCAGUGCCUUGUUGGCUUUAGCCAUCCAUCCUGGUUUAAAACACAUGUACAUCCUUAUAUCUCUUCAGGGUCCUUUGCUGUAAUUGCCAGUCCUUGCUGGAUCCCACAUUCAGGGUGGCAUUUCUGCUACAACGCUUCGUUGCUGCUCAGGCAGAGGCAUUGGGCAUGAACAGCAGCAGCAGCGGUGCUCUGGGAAGCCAGGAUGGGUGUCAGCAGCUCUGGGCACAAUCAGCAUAGGCUGAGUUUUGUCUGGGUAUCGAUUGCUGCCAGCUGAAUCACUGAUGGCUCAGCCAGGUUGUAUGUGAAAGCACAGGAGAUAGUUCAGAUGAUAAACUUAUUUUACUUGGGACUAAUAAGGCAGAAGAACCACCAGGAAAAAGAAGCUUUUACAGAAAUGCAACGUAGACAUUGCAGGUGUUUUCCAAGCUUCUAGCCACAAAGGACAGGGAGAAGGAGCCAUCAUUUUCUGACCAUUUUUUGAUUGCCUCUUUAGAGAGGAUUUUGUUGCUACCUAGAAGUUUGCUGGUAUUUGCCUGGGUUGCCUGAGGCUUUCUAGUGAGGCUGGUGCCAGCUUAUUUUAACACAGCCUGGAAGCCAACACUUGUUAGUUGUGUUAAUGGCUGCAAGCCCUAGAUAUUUAAGUUACUAAAAGUUCAAUCAAAAGUUAAUUAGGGCUUUUGGCUUUUCCUGCCUACAUCAAGAACAGAGCAGAGAUUUCCUAAGGCAGUCAAGGAGGAGGGGAUAAAAUCAGUGUUAUCAGACAGCUAUGUUUAAUAGACAGCUUGAACGUCAUGAUCUGUGCCAACAAAACAGUAUUUCUAGGGAGCUCGGUGCUUAACUUGAAUACGUCUCUGGUGAUGAUUCCACUGAACCUCAGGUACCUGGGCCAGGAAAAAGAUUAACGGUGAUUUUUUCUCCUUACAUCAUUGCCAGCUCUCUGGGAUACAAGAUACCUGCUUUGUGUGCUGCAGCCAGCAUCAGAUGAGCUGCCUUAGUUCGUGGCUACAAAUCCCAUGUGCCGUUUGGACACUGGGUUUUCUGGGAAGGGUCUGUGGCUGCUUUGUCUGCUUGCUGUUGAUGCAGAAGCAGGUAGGGUGUGUAAUAUCAGCCACGCUGGGCAGACGUUUAUCACCUAUUCAUACUAAAGGGGUCCACAGUCUUGGUUACAUACCAAAGAACCUUUUUAUUAUUAUUACUAUUAUUAUUGUUUGUCCCAGUCCAUAAUAUGCCUUCCAAAAAUGAACACAGGAAGAGGAGUUGGAUCUCCUGCUUUUUUCAUGUCCCUUCUCCACAGUGUGGAACUGCUUCAAUUUCUUAAUGACAAAUUCAGAAAGUUGUUUUUCACAAUGUGAACCAAAUAACAUAUUGUCCUGUAACUGUGUCUAGGAAAGGACAGACAUUUUAGCUGGAGACAUUCCAAAAGAUCCCCUGGAAGCAAAUGCAGCAGCCAAACAACUGCUUCUGGUCAUUGGCCAAAACAAAAUUCAACUCCACUUUGUGUCACCUUGACACAAAAACCAUCUAGUAUGGGAAUAUUUUGAGG